UGAAAAAUGAAGGCACAGAACAGGUGUCACU
rnacentral:piRNA from 1 species